GCAGGCUUACAUUCCAGUCUCAAGAUCUCCAACGAUUUAUUCAGUGGCAGAGAUUCGCUGAGGACGCGGAGGCCAUCUUUACCUGGACAUGUGCAAUUGAGAUUCUGUAACGAUGUCAUAAAUAUGCAUCAGGACAACUGCAUAUUUAAUAUGCAUCUGAGGGAUAAUUUAGAUUUAUUAGAGAAGAGAUUCAUGUACACACGCAAUAUGGAACUUUGAGGGGACGUUUUGUGAUCCAGAGGCGUGAUGUCUGCAGGUGUCUGUCUGACCGAUAUCUGUCCCUGUGUGUUUUGUUCCAUCAUUGUGAUUUUCGCACUGUUCAUUCAACAAUGAUAAGAUAUGAAAAUUGCCGAAGCACAAAGAUAACUAUAAAGAUGAUGUUGCACGGGGGUGAGGGGUGGCCGCCAUUAUGUAACUAUAUAUAUCACAUUGUAUGAUACUACAGCAGUGUCAAGUUGAAAUGUUUAGCGCACAUGCGCCAAGGAAUAAAAUGAGCUUUUUUGAUCACUUGUCAUUUGUCUAUCCGUUUCUAACUGUUCAUAUCGAUUCCAUCUACUGGGCAUAUUUUCACCAAACCUUAGGUAAGAGUUGUCCAAGUUUAU